rnacentral:rRNA from 1 species
UGGGGAAUUUUGGACAAUGGGCGCAAGCCUGAUCCAGCCAUGCCGCGUGAGGGAAGAAGGCCUUCGGGUUGUAAACCUCUUUCGGGCGGGACGAAACGGGCGCACGAAUAGUGCGUCUUACUGACGGUACCGCAAGAAGAAGCACCGGCUAACUACGUGCCAGCAGCCGCGGUAAUACGUAGGGUGCGAGCGUUAAUCGGAAUUACUGGGCGUAAAGCGUGCGCAGGUGGCUGUGCAAGCCAGGCGUGAAAUCCCCGGGCUCAACCUGGGAAUGGCGCUUGGGACUGCACGGCUAGAGUGCGGCAGAGGGAGCUGGAAUUCCUGGUGUAGCAGUGAAAUGCGUAGAGAUCAGGAGGAACACCGAUGGCGAAGGCAGGCUCCUGGGCCAGCACUGACACUCAUGCACGAAAGCGUGGGGAGCAAACAGGAUUAGAUACCCUCGUAGUCCCUGAGCGGGCUGGCAAGGCGCAU